UCAGGGGAAAACAGUGUUCAUUUCUACAACAUCUAAUUUGUGGCCUUCGGUGUAGACUUUCUUGUCACGCUAUUCUACAAUUUGAAGGAACACUUAAACGCUGCUUUUUUCUCCUCAAAUAUCAUUUUUAUCAUCAACGAGUCAAUUGAUAUAUAAAGAAAAUAGCAUUUCGUGAUUUUGCAAUAAUUUAAUCAUGAAGAUUUUGUUAAUCGUACUGGUUGGUUUUUUCCUGUGUUCUGUGACUGGAGGAGCACCUCAGUACGGGUUUGAUGUACCAUUUUACGGAGACCUUCCUGUAGGAGGCUACAGGAACAACAUGCCGGUACCAAUGAGUCCUAUGGCUGGCCAGGUGCCUGGCAUAUUUCCAUACCCAUACAAUCCUACGUAUUGAUAUUCAGGAUUUUCACUGCAUAUAGCUGAAAAGUAUAUACCAGGGCUGUGGAGUCGGGCAGAUUUUGGGGUAAAAAGUGUCGGAACUGGAGACGCUAAAAAAAACAGGACGACUCCGCCUCCAAUUUUUGUUGGACAAUUUGAAAUGAAAUUAAAAUGAAUUAAAAUAAAAUAUUACUGACAAGCUGA